rnacentral:rRNA from 1 species
ACGAAAAAUAACGAUACGGGACUCAUCCGAGGCCCCGUAAUCGGAAUGAGUACACUCUAAACCCUUUAACGAGGAUCAAUUGGAGGGCAAGUCUGGUGCCAGCAGCCGCGGUAAUUCCAGCUCCAAUAGCGUAUAUUAAAGUUGUUGCGGUUAAAAAGCUCGUAGUCGAAUUUGUGUCCCGCGCCGCCGGUUCAUCGCUCGCGGUGUCAACUGGCGUGUCCGCGGGACGUCCUGCCGGUGGGCUCAGCCCCGUACGGGGCGGCCCAAUCUCAAUCCCACCGCGGUGCUCUUCACUGAGUGUCGAGGUGGGCCGGCACGUUUACUUUGAACAAAUUAGAGUGCUUAAAGCAGGCUAAAACAUCGCCUGAAUACUGUGUGCAUGGAAUAAUGGAAUAGGACCUCGGUUCUAUUUUGUUGGUUUUCGGAACCCCGAGGUAAUGAUUAAUAGGAACGGAUGGGGGCAUUCGUAUUGCGACGUUAGAGGUGAAAUUCUUGGAUCGUCGCAAGACGGACAGAAGCGAAAGCAUUUGCCAAAAACGCUUUCAUUGAUCAAGAACGAAAGUUAGAGGUUCGAAGGCGAUCAGAUACCGCCCUAGUUCUAACCAUAAACGAUGCCAGCUAGCGAUCCGCCGACGUUCCUCCGAUGACUCGGCGGGCAGCUUCCGGGAAACCAAAGCUUUUGGGUUCCGGGGGAAGUAUGGUUGCAAAGCUGAAACUUAAAGGAAUUGACGGAAGGGCACCACCAGGAGUGGAGCCUGCGGCUUAAUUUGACUCAACACGGGAAACCUCACCAGGCCCGGACACCGGAAGGAUUGACAGAUUGAGAGC